rnacentral:piRNA from 1 species
UGGAAUAUCCUUUUUUUGGUG